AUCUGAUGAUGAGGGCAACUAGCACACAACCGCUUAAAUCUCUCCUAAUACUCAUAUAGUGACUCCCUCGAAUAUUGCCUUAUACCGCAAAUCUCUUUUCUGAUGCU